rnacentral:sRNA from 1 species
CUUUCUUAACAUAUCACGGAUCUGUGCUCUGCGAUCCUCUGCUUCAUUCGUGGAGUCAGGGUCGAUUGCUUUGCAGCUCGAUAACUCCAUGGAGCCAUCAACUUGUUAUGGUGUCAAUCAUCCUAUCGACAGUUCCCAGAACAACGGGUCCUCUGGCCGCCUCAUUCGCCGUCGCAAGACGGUUUGAGUGUCCGUAGCUGGAGGUACCAGAGACGCUAUAUUCCACCCCCCUUUUCCGAGACCGUCGGUUGGUGAGGUUGGGGAAAACCAUGGUCUGCCUACAUUU